CUGUAAAAGCAGGUGCAAAAACCUUUAAGAAGAAGGCCAAGAAAAUACGCACUAAAGUUACCUUCUAUCGGCCAAAGACAUUGACAAAGGAAAGGAAUCCCAAGUAUCCUCGCAUUAGUGCUGUUCCCCGCAAUAAACUUGACCACUACCAGAUUCUAAAGUAUCCUCUCACCACGGAGUCAGCAAUGAAGAAAAUUGAAGACAACAACACACUAGUUUUCAUUGUAGAUAUUCGUGACUGAUAAGAAAAAGAUCAAGAACGCAGUCAAGAAAAUGUAUGACAUCCAGACAAAGAAAGUGAACACACUUAUCAGGUGAACAAUGAUUCCAUCAAUCUUUCUACAUUCUACAUGUUGAAUUUGAACUUUGGCUUACUGCCAUAAGUGCUUUCAUCUAGAUCAUCCAUUCUUGAAAAUUGGAAUAUCUUGUGCAACAUAGAUCAUCCAUUCAUGCUACUAUUUAAAUUUUGGAUAAACUAGAUUUUAUAUUCAUUCUUUGAUUCCCUGUAACUGAAUUAUAAUCUAAUCUGCUCUGUUUCAGGCCGGAUGGAACCAAGAAGGCAUAUGUCAGGUUGACACCUGAUUACGAUGCUCUGGAUGUUGCUAACAAAAUCGGAAUCAUCUAAAUGGUCGGAGAUUGAGUUUUGUGUUUAAGCCUUUCUUUGGGGGAUUGUUUGUACUCCAAAAUUUCUUUUUUGAUUUAAAUGUGGGAGCUUCAGACUGAAUUGUGCAAGUUAUAUAGAGAUUUAGAUUUAGAUUGUAUCCGUCUUUACUUUAUUUACUUUUCCAUGUAUUCUGUCUUUUAAAAUCCUUUCUAUUAUGCUCUCCAAGAUAUACUCAAUUUGUGAUGAUACAUUGUUAAAUUCGGUGGAUUGUAGAAGCUCUAGUUUUAUAAAGCUGCUUUGCUCAUCUUUUUCUAUCAUCGAGCAUGUUAGUUUGUUAAAUCAGCACCAAUUGACUGCAAAUUUCUAUCCAUGUUAGUGAAAAAUCACCCAUUGUUUGAGUGUUUGAACCACCAUCUUCUACCGAUAUGUAUGUUAACCUUUUUGUCUACUGAAUAUCAGUAAAAACUUAAUGAAAAUGAACCUUUUAUCAAUGUUUUUAGUAAACCCUGCUCCUUGCUCCUUCUCACAACUGCAAAUUUCCAAUUAUCUAUGCAUGCAAUGCAAUCUGAUUACACACAAAUUCAAAAUCCAGUUAAAACGUUGGUAUCUAUUAAUCUCAGAACAUCAUAAAUCUCAUCCUUAUUGGCAUGUGUUUUAUCUGCCGUUACAAACACAUGAACCUCGCUCUUAACUUGUAUCCAACUACUCCCAGCAAUCCUGCUCAACCCCUUCUCUCUCAUCCUCUGCCUUAUCUCCCUCACCUCCUCCCACCUCCCUGCAGCUGACUGAGCAUUCGACAGCAUCACAUACGACGAUACAUCCGUCGGAUCCAACUCCAAGAUUCUUCUUGCUGCAACCUCCCCCAACUCCCAGUUGGAAUGCACCCGGCACCCUCCCAGCAACGCUUUCCAGAACCCAAUCCCGGGAUCAAACGGCAACUCAACAAGAAACCUCUCUGCCUCCUCGAACCUCCCACCCCGAGACAGCGAAUCCAUCAAGCACGCGUAGUGCUCCGCCCUCAGGAGCCCCGGAUCACCACGCCUCACUUGCUUGAAGUAGUUGCAGCCCUCAUCAACAAGGCCCGCGUGAUUGCACGCCAACAGCAAACCGAGAAGAGUCACACCGUUUGGCUCAACGCCCGCAACCUUCAUCUUCUCGUACGCAUCAACCGCAGCGCUCCCUUCUCCGUUCUGCGCGUAGCCACAGAUGAGCGCGUUCCACGACACCACGCUCCUCUCAAGCGUUUUCUUGAAUGCCAGCAGACUAUCCUCCAUGCUCCCACACUUUGCAUAGAAACUAAUCAAAGAAUUUGCAAGAAACAAGCCAAGCUGGCCCAAGUGCUUCACUGCGGAGGCAUGAAUGCUCCUUCCUAGCCCCAACGACCCCAUAUUGGCAGCGGCAAUGAUGGCGCAAGGAUACGAGGAUUGAAUAGGCGUAACCCCCUCUCUCAACAUCUCCACCAACAGAUUCACAGCUUCCUCGUUCCUCCCCGAUUGGCUGCACCCGCUGAUCAUGGUGUUCCAACAAACCGCAUUCCUCUCGGGCAUUGAUCGGAAACAAGCGCGGGCUUCAUCAAACCUUCCUUCCUUGGUGUAGCAGCGGAUCAACGAGGCGUAGGAGAACACGUUUGGCUCAUUGAUAUCCUCGAAAGCCCUCAAAGCGUCGUGAAAGCUGCUCAACUUGACAUAAAGAUCCAAAAUGGCGCUGCCAGCGAAGACGUUUGAGCUGAAGCCGGCUUUGAUAGCGUGGGAUUGAAUCUGUUUGCCGAGGCGGAGGUCUUUGAGGAGCGCGGAGGAAUGAAUGAGUGUGGCGAAAGUGUAGUCGUUGGGUUUGAUGUCGAGAAGGAGCAUUCUUGUGAAGCAAGCGAUGGCUUCGGCAUGUCGAUUUCGCUUCGCAAGUUGGCCAAUCAGAGCAGUCGCGGAUUUGACGUCGCGUUGGGGCAUUUCGUCGAGCAGUUGGUGGGCGUCUGGAUUCCGGAACGAAACGGAGCGUGAUUUGGAGUUGGUUUGGAUGGAGCAUUGUCCAAGAAUGGCGAUCCUUCUCAAAACUGCCAUUCUCGUAUCUAAGUUGACACAUCUUAACCUCAACUCAUUCUCGUACAACGGAGUUUUACCACUUCUUCAGCUUCUCAAAACUUAUGGAAGAUUGUGUUGAUAAAUGAUCUAUUUAUUAAAAUAAAAGAUUGAAUUGGAUUAGUUUGUUGAUGAAUGUAGGAAAAUUAUACCACUAAAAUAAUACUUACUCUCUCCGUCCACAAUUUAAAGUCGUUCUUGCCCUUAAAAAUUUGUGCACAAAUUAAAACUCUAUUAUGUUUUUUGUACCUUUUUACCCUUCUUUUUUAUUUAAAAUUACUACCAUCUGCCAUUAAUUAUUUCUCCCCAUUUUUAAACCUAUUUAAUUAUAGAAUUAAUUAAUUCACUAAGUGCAGCUAAUUAAUUCACUUAAUAAAUGAGAAUUAUCCCUCCCCAUUUAAUAUUUAUAGCCUUAUUUAAUUCAUCCCCAUUUUCAAGGGAUCUUUGGUCGGUGUCGUUUUCUCUUUUCCUAAAUAGAUUGCCAGGAUAAACUCCCUAACAACAUAGAGGUUUCUUAUGGCGUCGACGUGAUAUCUGCCUUGAGAGUGUUAUGUGGUUAAAAGCUUAGAUAUGAGGUUCUCUGAUCCCGAGCAAUUAUUCAGGGAUCUGCUAACUAAUGCAAUUGGUAGGGGUCUUGUAGUAUAUGUGUGACUUUAGAAGAGUAACUUUCUGUGAGAUAAAAGAACAAAGAAGUUAACUUCAGGAAAACGAACGAAAGAGAGAAGUGGAAGUAAGACGAAUAAGAAGGGCAGCNUUUUCUUGAAUGCCAGCAGACUAUCCUCCAUGCUCCCACACUUUGCAUAGAAACUAAUCAAAGAAUUUGCAAGAAACAAGCCAAGCUGGCCCAAGUGCUUCACUGCGGAGGCAUGAAUGCUCCUUCCUAGCCCCAACGACCCCAUAUUGGCAGCGGCAAUGAUGGCGCAAGGAUACGAGGAUUGAAUAGGCGUAACCCCCUCUCUCAACAUCUCCACCAACAGAUUCACAGCUUCCUCGUUCCUCCCCGAUUGGCUGCACCCGCUGAUCAUGGUGUUCCAACAAACCGCAUUCCUCUCGGGCAUUGAUCGGAAACAAGCGCGGGCUUCAUCAAACCUUCCUUCCUUGGUGUAGCAGCGGAUCAACGAGGCGUAGGAGAACACGUUUGGCUCAUUGAUAUCCUCGAAAGCCCUCAAAGCGUCGUGAAAGCUGCUCAACUUGACAUAAAGAUCCAAAAUGGCGCUGCCAGCGAAGACGUUUGAGCUGAAGCCGGCUUUGAUAGCGUGGGAUUGAAUCUGUUUGCCGAGGCGGAGGUCUUUGAGGAGCGCGGAGGAAUGAAUGAGUGUGGCGAAAGUGUAGUCGUUGGGUUUGAUGUCGAGAAGGAGCAUUCUUGUGAAGCAAGCGAUGGCUUCGGCAUGUCGAUUUCGCUUCGCAAGUUGGCCAAUCAGAGCAGUCGCGGAUUUGACGUCGCGUUGGGGCAUUUCGUCGAGCAGUUGGUGGGCGUCUGGAUUCCGGAACGAAACGGAGCGUGAUUUGGAGUUGGUUUGGAUGGAGCAUUGUCCAAGAAUGGCGAUCCUUCUCAAAACUGCCAUUCUCGUAUCUAAGUUGACACAUCUUAACCUCAACUCAUUCUCGUACAACGGAGUUUUACCACUUCUUCAGCUUCUCAAAACUUAUGGAAGAUUGUGUUGAUAAAUGAUCUAUUAUUAAAUAAAAGAUUGAAUUGGAUUAGUUUGUUGAUGAAUGUAGGAAAAUUAUACCACUAAAAUAAUACUUACUCUCUCCGUCCUACAAUUUAAAGUCGUUCUUGCCCUUAAAAAUUUGUGCACAAAUUAAAACUCUAUUAUGUUUUUUGUACCUUUUUACCCUCUUUUUUAUUUAAAAUUACUACCAUCUGCCAUUAAUUAUUUCUCCCCAUUUUUAAACCUAUUUAAUUAUAGAAUUAAUUAAUUCACUAAGUGCAGCUAAUUAAUUCACUUAAUAAAUGAGAAUUAUCCCUCCCCAUUUAAUAUUUAUAGCCUUAUUUAAUUCAUCCCCAUUUUCAAGGGAUCUUUGGUCGGUGUCGUUUUCUCUUUUCCAAAUAGAUUGCCAGGAUAAACUCCCUAACAACAUAGAGGUUUCUUAUGGCGUCGAGUGAUAUCUGCCUUGAGAGUGUUAUGUGGUUAAAAGCUUAGAUAUGAGGUUCUCUGAUCCCGAGCAAUUAUUCAGGGAUCUGCUAACUAAUGCAAUUGGUAGGGGUCUUGUAGUAUAUGUGUGACUUUAGAAGAGUAACUUUCUGUGAGAUAAAAGAACAAAGAAGUUAACUUCAGGAAAACGAACGAAAGAGAGAAGUGGAAGUAAGACGAAUAAGAAGGGCAGCUUAAGGCCUGGUUCCCGUCUGAUUGAGAAUAGUUACUAGAACAGAAAAACAAGUAGUAAAAGAACUCCUAAUUGAAGACUUCUCCCUGCUUGUUGGAAAAGUAACUAACCGGCAGCUUGGUUGUUGGUUCUGCUUUUCACUUUCUCGAGUCUUUGUUCUUACUUUCUUAAGGCCUGGUUCCCGUCCGAGUGGAGUUGGGACUUUAAAUGGAGAAGAGAAUUAUUCGACAGGGAAAAACUCAUGGUCAAUGAAUUGUUGUCUGUCAUUUCAGGUACCACCCUUACGGCAAACAAAGACGAUGGAUGGGUUUGGACUGCUUCAAAGGAGGGAGUGUUCACCACUAGUUCAGCUUACAAAGCGAUCAAAGAAGCGAGGAAAAAGGAAGAGGAGAGCAGCUUGUACAACCAAAGAGCAGCGAAAGCGUGGCAGAUCUGCGCCCCUCAAAAAGUUAAGGUAACGGCAUGGAGAAUUUUUCGGAAUAGGCUGCCUACCUGCGACAACUUGAGCAAGAGAAACAUUCCGCUUGAAGACGUGGAAACCAUGUGCAAUGCUUGCUGCCAGGAAAAAGAAACGGCGGACCACCUGUUUCGCUCCUGCCCGAAGACAGAAAUGAUCUGGAACGAGAUUUAGAAUUGGACUGGGCUCUACACCGCUCGGGCGGACUGCAUUGAGGCGCACUUCCACUCCUUUAUUCACAAGGGCAAUGGAAAAAACAUUAAGAAAUUCCUUGAAGCUCUUUGGACUUGCACCACUUGGCUCAUUUGGAAAGGUCGUAAUGAGAGUAGAUUCCAGAACAAGAACUGGGAAGUCAAGAAAAUGCUGGGCGAAAUCAAAGCGAGGCUAUGGAGUUGGAAUAAGGUCUUUAAACUGUUAGACGUGGAGAUUAAUUUUAGCUGUUGGUUCUCCAAUUCUAUUUCCCCUUUUCUGUUGUAACCAGUUUGGUACUUCUGGUACCAUGAACUUUCUCUAAUAAAAUCCUUUUUCUGAUAAAAAAAAACUUAGAAUUGUAUUUUCAUUUGUGAUUCAAAUCUUGAUACAAUAUUGUGAAACUACUGGGGUUAGAGUUAUCAUCAUAUUUAUGAUGUUUAUACAUAUUAAACAUUGCAUAUAUGUAUCCAUCUAUAUGGUUGUUUCUGGUUUAUAGUUUUUUUUUUCUUGCUAAACUAAAGUUUAUCUUGAUAAUAAUUUGGGCCACUAAUCAUUAUAUUCCCAAUGGGUUUUAGCCAAUACUUACCAUUCUUUCAAUGGACACUACACUACUGAUUUACGUGAUCCAUCAUUCCUUACUUGUACCAUUGUUAUAGAAAUCUAGCACCUUCUUUUAUUAGUUAGCUAAUUUUUGCUUUUGCUUGUAUAACUGCAGCUGAUACAAGUAAGAAAUCAGACGCCAAGGCUCAAGCCUUAAAGGCUGCCAAGGCUGUAAAAGCAGGUGCAAAAACCUUUAAGAAGAAGGCCAAGAAAAUACGCACUAAAGUUACCUUCUAUCGCCCAAAGACAUAGACAAAGGAAAGGAAUCCCAAGUAUCCUCGCAUUAGUGAUGUUCCCCGCAAUAAACUUGACCACUACCAAAUUCUCAAGUAUCCUCUCACCACGGAGUCUGCAAUGAAGAAAAUUGAAGACAACAACACACUAGUUUUCAUUGUAGAUAUUCGUGCUGAUAAGAAAAAGA
rnacentral:lncRNA from 1 species